CAGCACACCCGCAGCCACAGGCUCUCCAAGCCGUCGGAGCAGGAUCGGGGGGAGGGGCUGGGCCCGGAGCCAGCAGCCGGCGGCCCUCAGCCCAGCCGGCGGCCCGAGGGCAAGGGAACGGCCUCCGUUCCGGGCUCUAGUCGCAGCUUUCCUGCCCUGCCCCGCCCCGCUGACCCGGACCGAGAUCGGAUCCGACCUCCUGCGGCGCAUUGGCCGCGGAUUCCCCCGGGCCGCAGCCUCCGCUUGUAAGCCUGCGAAGCAUCCUGUCUCCCCGUUGAGGGCCGCCCCCUCCUAGGGCUGCGGCUCUGCCAAUGAUCUUGUGACUAUUGGAGUCCAUAGUUGCCCUUGUGGGCCCUUGCUGCCUUCUCCCGACAUGGCGUCUGACACACCCGAGUCCCUCAUGGCCCUCUG
rnacentral:lncRNA from 1 species